GAUGAACGCUAGCGGCAGGCUUAACACAUGCAAGUCGAGGGGCAGCACGUCUUCGGAUGGUGGCGACCGGCGCACGGGUGCGUAACGCGUAUAGAACCUACCUUUUACAGGGGAAUAGCCCAGAGAAAUUUGGAUUAAUGCCCCAUAGUAUUAUUAGAUGGCAUCAUUUGAUAAUUAAACAUUUAUGGGUAAAAGAUGGCUAUGCGUUCUAUUAGCUAGAUGGUAAGGUAACGGCUUACCAUGGCGACGAUAGAUAGGGGUCCUGAGAGGGAGAUCCCCCACACUGGUACUGAGACACGGACCAGACUCCUACGGGAGGCAGCAGUGAGGAAUAUUGGACAAUGGGCGAGAGCCUGAUCCAGCCAUGCCGCGUGCAGGAAGACGGUCCUAUGGAUUGUAAACUGCUUUUGUACGGGAAGAAACACCCCCUCGUGAGGGGGCUUGACGGUACCGUAAGAAUAAGGAUCGGCUAACUCCGUGCCAGCAGCCGCGGUAAAGUCAG
rnacentral:rRNA from 1 species